GCUCAAUUUGGCAGCACAUAUAACUAAAAUUGGAACUAUACAGAGAUUAGCCCAGCCGUUGCACAAGGAUGAUAUGAAAAUUCAUGAAGCAUUCUAUAUUUUU